rnacentral:rRNA from 1 species
GACGAACGCUGGCGGCGUGCUUAACACAUGCAAGUCGAACGCUGAAGCUUGGUGCUUGCACUGGGUGGAUGAGUGGCGAACGGGUGAGUAAUACGUGAGUAACCUGCCCUUGACUCUGGGAUAAGCCUGGGAAACUGGGUCUAAUACUGGAUACGACAUGUCACCGCAUGGUGGUGUGUGGAAAGGGUUUUACUGGUUUUGGAUGGGCUCACGGCCUAUCAGCUUGUUGGUGGGGUAAUGGCUCACCAAGGCGACGACGGGUAGCCGGCCUGAGAGGGUGACCGGCCACACUGGGACUGAGACACGGCCCAGACUCCUACGGGAGGCAGCAGUGGGGAAUAUUGCACAAUGGGCGAAAGCCUGAUCCAGCGACGCCGCGUGAGGGAUGACGGCCUUCGGGUUGUAAACCUCUUUCAGCACGGAAGAAGCGAAAGUGACGGUACGUGCAGAAGAAGCGCCGGCUAACUACGUG